GUGAAUUGAAUAUGUUAGCGGACCUCUUUGGAGUCCCUAGCAUCAAAUCAUAUCCAUAACACCUGUGAACUGUAAGGCUGUCUUGAAAACGAAAGUGAUUAGAGCGCCUGCCCAUUUUAUACAAACAUUAAAGUAACAAACGUAGUCUUAUUAUAAUCUUAUA
rnacentral:misc_RNA from 1 species